UACGGAGGGUGCGAGCGUUGUCCGGAAUCACUGGGCGUAAAGGGCGCGUAGGCGGCUGGGUAAGUCGGCGGUGAAAGCCCGGAGCUCAACUCCGGGUCGGCCGUCGAGACUCCUCGGCUCGAGCUCACUAGAGGCAGAUGGAAUUCCGGGUGUAGCGGUGGAAUGCGUAGAGAUCCGGAAGAACACCGGUGGCGAAGGCGGUCUACUGGGGUGAGGCUGACGCUGAUGCGCGACAGCGUGGGGAGCAAACAGG
rnacentral:rRNA from 1 species